CUACUGAUUAAAAUCCCUCAGGCCUAAAGAAAGGCAGCUGGCUUCUUGCAUCAAAGUCCAAACCAAUCGGGGACUCCGCCUCGUCUGGGGUCACCCUUCUGGCUCUGCUGCUCUUUCUCCAUGAACUUCUUCCUGAAGUCAUCAAAGGCCUCAGCUUCCGAGUCUUCUUUCUCUGGAAAUAGGUUGGGAAACUGAAAGGUUUUCCCUUGACCCAGCUGUACGUAGGCGACCUUGUAAUCUGGCUUCUUCACUCUCUGAUUCCUAUGGUUUCUCUUGUUGUUUGCACCGUACUGUAUCCUGGUCCUCACAGCAGCUACUGGCACAUUAUAGAUUUUCUCAAGGUAAUUCUUGAUAUCCACUUUUGUCAUUUCCAUAGAGACGCGAAACUGCACGGUGUCCUCAGGCUGCGGCACGCCGGGCCGCACCGCCAGCAUGAAGAAGUUGGGGCGGAAAAUCCGCAGCUGGGGGCCACCCAGCUGGUACAAGGGGUACACCGCCUUCUUGCCGACCGCCGCCAUGGCCGCCG
rnacentral:lncRNA from 1 species